UAUAAAAUAAAGCGAUUAUAUUGCAUUCAGUUUCGGCCUGAACUUAGAAAAUUUCUAUUUUUUA
rnacentral:tRNA from 1 species